AUUGAACGCUGGCGGCAGGCCUAACACAUGCAAGUCGAGCGAGCGGCGGACGGGUGAGUAAUGUCUGGGAAACUGCAUGAUGGAGGGGGAUAACUACUGGAAACGGUAGCUAAUACCGCAUACCAUCAGAUGCGCCCAGAUGGGAUUAGCUAGUAGGUGGGGUAACUGCUCACCUAGGCGACGAUCCCUAGCUGGUCUGAGAGGAGGACCAGCCACACGGGAACGUAGACACGGUCCAGACUCCGACGGGAGGCAGCAGUGGGGAAUAUUGAACAAUGGGCGCAAGCCUGAUGCAGCCCUGCCGCGGGUGUUAAGAAGGCCUUCGGGGUGUAAAGGACUUUCAGCGGGGAAGCGUUACCCGCAGAAGAAGCACCGGCUAACUCCGUGCCAGCAGCCGCGGUAAUAC
rnacentral:rRNA from 1 species